AGUUUAGUUGCCCAGUUCAAUUUUCAAUGAUAAUGUUUUAGCUGGAAAUUCACAUUAAUUAGCAGCAUAGAUUACAGCAUUUGCCCCAGUGGACGAAUUGGAUGCAAUGCAUAUUGUAAGAUGCACUCCGAUGUCCAGUGAUACACAAAAUCAAACAGCAAAGGCAGUAACUGUGCAGAUAUUCAAAGAGUCUGCUUUUACAUCAUGGCAAAGAAGCUACGUAAUUCAGGGAACAUCCUAUGGCCUCCAUUACAAAUGCAUAAUUUGUACUUUAAUUUGGAAUGUAAAUGGCAGGUCAAAAAUAAUCUCUAUUGAAUAACA